rnacentral:rRNA from 1 species
UUCCAGACUCCUACGGGAGGCAGCAGUGGGGAAUAUUGCACAAUGGGGGAAACCCUGAUGCAGCGACGCCGCGUGAGUGAAGAAGUAUUUCGGUAUGUAAAGCUCUAUCAGCAGGGAAGAAAAUGACGGUACCUGACUAAGAAGCCCCGGCUAACUACGUGCCAGCAGCCGCGGUAAUACGUAGGGGGCAAGCGUUAUCCGGAUUUACUGGGUGUAAAGGGAGCGUAGACGGCAUGGCAAGUCAGAUGUGAAAGCCCGGGGCUCAACCCCGGGACUGCAUUUGAAACUGUCAGGCUGGAGUGCAGGAGAGGUAAGUGGAAUUCCUAGUGUAGCGGUGAAAUGCGUAGAUAUCAGGAGGAACACCGGUGGCGAAGGCGGCCUGCUGGACUGCAACUGACGUUGAGGCCCGAAAGCGUGGGGAGCAAACAGGAUUAGAUACCCUAGUA